UCUGAUCUCGGAAGCUAAGCAGGGUCGGGCCUAGUUAGUACUUGGAUGGGAGACCACCUAGGAAGACCAGGAGCUAUAGGUG
rnacentral:rRNA from 1 species